UACGUAGGGUCCGAGCGUUGUCCGGAAUUAUUGGGCGUAAAGGGCUCGUAGGCGGUUUGUCGCGUCGGGAGUGAAAACUCAGGGCUUAACCCUGAGCCUGCUUCCGAUACGGGCAGACUAGAGGUAUGCAGGGGAGAAUGGAAUUCCUGGUGUAGCGGUGAGAUGCGCAGAUAUCAGGAGGAACACCAGUGGCGAAGGCGGCUCACUGGCCCGAUACUGACGCUGAGGUGCGAAAGCGUGGGGAGCAAACAGG
rnacentral:rRNA from 1 species